UGAUCGGUCGCCAAGGAGGAAGUAGA
rnacentral:piRNA from 1 species